AAAAUCAAAGCCCUCAGGUUUUUUUCCUUCCCCUUCUAAUUGUCAUCUUUAAUUCAUGUUUCUGAUGCAUAAAUCCAUUAGUUUUUCCUGUAAUUCUCUUUCGGAACCCCCAGUACAGGAAACGCUCUUACUUUCAUCUCUCUCUCUGAUCUUUAGGUAUUAUCGCAAUUCCUCUCUCAAUUGGUGCUAUAGUAUUUCAUAAAAUUAUUAGAUUUAGGGUUGGGCAAACUGAUUUUAAGGAUUUUGAUUGUACUUUGCGUUCUGAUUUUGUUUGAGAUAGUCCCGUGUUUGGUUUAGAUGUAAGGCCUGAAGCUUUUCGAGAUGAAUCUUAACCAAGGAGGACUUGAAAAGCAUUUUGAGGUACCUGGCAGUCCUGCAGAUGCAGGACCACGGCCAACUUCGUUACUGGCCUUCAACUGUUGCAGCUGCUCUUGUCAUCCUGGCUUCUUUAGAAGACAAUCGUGAUGUGUCGUGCCAACGAGUAAUAGAGACUCAUGUGAGAACAGAAGGUGAUGAUCUACACUAGAGGUAUGGAUGAAUUCUGAUAUCAUGAAUUUUGAUCGCAUUUUCAUUUCUCCAUUUAAGUUCCUAAGAGUUUCGAUUGCAAUUUAAUAUAAUCAUUGUAUAUUAAUGUAGCUGACAAUGUGCUACAUUUGACAGAGCCUAGAUUGGUUGUUAAAGUAUGUAUGAGAGCAUCCUAGCAGGUAAAGGAACAUGUACAUCACCAUUCUGUUUCUGAUUUCCUACUCAUCUAAAGACAUAGACGGAAGGUAGAUUGAGCUGAGCCUUCUAAAGCCUGAUCAAGAGGUAAAAAAGAAUCUGAUUCUUUCGUCAAUCAACAUGACACUGCGGCAACUUGUAAUCACUCCAUAAAAAUAACAGAAAUUGUACCUUCUAAAUGGUUGCGAAGGCACACGUAAACUGUAAGAACUUCUGCUCGAAAAGCUUGCCAUUACUCAUGAUGAAAAUAUU